rnacentral:hammerhead_ribozyme from 1 species
AUCCAGAUGACGAGUCCCAAACAGGACGAAACCCUCAUGCUGAAU